AUAAAGCUGUAAAAAUCUCACCUGCUCGUCUUUGAUGUUGCAAUUAGCACAUUCAGCAUUUUCAGUAUCUACUAAAUAAAUAUAUGAAAGUGCCAAAUGUCCAAGAUACCAUGACGUCCUCCUCAAAAUGUUAGAUCCUUUGAACUCCAUUUAUUUUAUCCCUGAUUAAUCCUCUCACACAUGAGGCCUACAUGUAAGAUUCCUUGUAAUGUUCACAGCGUUUAUUUUAAAUUGUUUACGUUCUCAAAUUUUAGCAGGUAUUUAAUUAUAAAUAUUUAUUUAUGAUAUUGAUUUAUUUACUAUUUCGAAGAUACAGUCUUGCAACGUGUUUAGUUAGUCUAAGUUACGUGUUUAGUGAUUCUUACAAACAAUAGACUGACAUAAAAAGUGGCUCCUUUUGAAACACAAACUGCAUCCAUGUAUAUAUUACAGCAGGCCCGGUUUGAUGGGGCCUGUUUUUGAUAAUAAUUAAUUACCAUUUUUCACUUCCGUGUUUAUUAUGUUUACCAACGCCAUGAUGGAAAAAAGUCCGUUUCCCACAAUCCUUAGCGCGCAUUCACACAGGUCAGUAAGACCGGUGUGACACAAUGCUGUCAAGUCUGUCAAAGAAUGCUGAAGGGAACGAAUUUUUCUCGACGGUCCAGAAUGGGCCAAAUAUUAAAUAAAAUGAUAAGAGUGAAGCGAAUUGUCGUCAAUUGAAUUGGAACUAAAAACUGUUGCGAAAAUUCAGAUUGUUGAGGAAGGCGGUCAUGCCAGAAGGUUUACAUCCAAUAUUGCCCAGGGGGACAGUAAUUAGAACAAUUUCUUUAAGUUUGUGUGGACACAGAGGCUUGAAUGUAGAAAUCAAAGAGUGGACAUGCGUAUAAAAUAUCGCCAACAGACCAUGGACGGAUAAAGAGAAAAAUCUACUAUUGUGAUUGAAAGUUUAAAAUAUACAGCAAAUAAACUUCAAAUAGAAAUUUAAACAUACAAGAAGUAGGACCUUGACCAUGCCUCAACAACAUCAGGAACAAGAAGUCAAACAUGCAAUAUUAAUUCACAUGCUUGUAGCUAAUAGCACAUGAGCAUUAGCAAGUGAAGGAGAGAAACAAUAACUAAUGACCAUAAAAUUAUCUAUUGAUACUUAUCAAAAUUGGAUCCAUUCUGGACAUCUUCAAGAGUCUAGCCAGCUCUAUUGAUGCUUAAAAAUUGGAUCCAUUCUGGAAAUUGUAAGAGUCUAGCCAGCUCUAUUGAUACUAACCAAAAUUGGAUCCAUUCAGGAGAAUUUCAAGUGUGUAGCCAGCUCUAUUGAUAUUGACCAAAACUCAAUCCAUUCUGGACAUUUGCAAGAGUGUAUCCAGUCCUGUUGAAAUUGACCGAAUUUUGAUCCAUUCUGGACAUUUUCAAGAGUGAAGCCAGCUCUAUUGUUACUUACUAAAAUUGGAUCCAUUGUGGACACUUUCAAGACUCUAGCUAGCUCUAUUGAUUCUUACCAAAAUUUGAUCUAUUCGGGACAAUUUGAAGAGUCAAGCCAGCUGUAUUGGUACUCACCAAAAUUGGAUCCAUUCUUGACAACUUCAAGACUCUAGCCAGCUCUCUUGAUACUUACCAAAAUUUGAUCUAUUCUAUACAAAUUCAAGAGUCUAGCCAGCUCUAUUGAUACUUACCAAAAUUGGAUCCAUUCUGGACAAUUUCAAGAGUCUAGCAAGCUCUAUUGAUACUUACCGAAAAUGGAUCCAAUCUAGACAAUUUCAAGAGUCAAGCCAGCUCUCUUGAUACUUACCAAAAUUGGAUCCAUUUUGGACAAUUUCAAGAGUAUAGCCAGCUCUAUUGAUACCAAAAUUGGAUCCAUUCUGGACAAUUUCAAGAGUGAAGCCAGAUCUAUUGAUACUUACAAAAAUUGGAUCCAUUCUGGACAUUUUCAAGAGUGUACCCAGAACUAUUGUUACUUGCCAAAAUUGGAUCCAUUCUAUACAAUUUCAAGAGUCUAGCCUGCACUAUUGAUACUUAACAAAAUUGGAUCCAAUCCGGACAUUUUCAAGCGUUUAGCAAGCCUUGUUGAUACUGACCGAAUUCGGAUUCAUUCUGUACAUUGUCAAAAUAUUUUUGAUUGAUCAUAUAAUGUCCCUGGGAUGAAAAUAAGCCACACCUUUUUGCUUUUUAUUAAAGGGGCCUUUUUAAGUUUUGGUAAAUUGUCAAAAUUGUUUCAUAUUUUUAUGUCCCCCACCACUAUAGUGGUUUAUAAAAUUAUAAAUCGUUGCAAUGCAAAACGAUUGAAUAAUAUGGAAAGUUCUGUUGUCGUUGUUAUAUUUUGUGAAACUACGAGAAUUGCUUAUAUUAAGUAUAAAAUACCUUCCACAUUGUAUGACCACAAAUGACCGAGUGGUCAAAGCAGUAGACUUUUACUCCAGUACUCCAGUUGUCAGUGGUUCUAUCCCUGUUGAGGGUUCAACCAAGAUUUGAUUUUCAAUUUGUGUCUAGUUAUACACUGGGGACCAUGGCGUUUUCCUUAUAUGCAUGUUAUAAAAAUUAUUAUUAUCCUAGACCCAAACAACAAAGAUAAAGAGCCUGCAAUUGAGGUUGCAUCUGAAUAUUGUAUGGUAUUUGUUUGAACUACACAGGCCCUCUGGGAACUAUUUAAAAAAACAUUAUUGAUCCAUUUUUUUUAUCUUUAACAACUUUUAUAAUUUUUCUCAGUACAUACUCCGGUUUGACUUGAAACAUACAAACUAGUGAAAAUAAUAAGUACUGCCAUAAUUACCAUGGCAAUGUGUUGUUUUUUGGUUAAAGGCCAAUGUGCAGACUUACUACUAAAUGAUGAAAUAAUGAUGUAAUGUUACUGUUUUAAAUUUUAGAAAGAAUGUGUUUUGAUAUUCUAAGCAUUUUUUAUUUAUUUUUCAUGUAAAAUAUACACUUUUGAAAAAUUGUGUUUUAUAACUGUUAAGUUAAAUACACAGGUAUUUCAGUUUGGUUAUGUAGCGGGGUUUGUGUAUUGACACAAGGGGUUAUAGUUGCCAACUUUUAUUAAGCCCCCCUUUGAAGAAGAGGGGGUAUAUUGUUUUGCACAUGUCGGUUCGUCCACCAGAUGGUUUCCGGAUGAGAGCGCUUAGGCCUAGGAUCAUGAAACUUCAUAGGAACAUUGAUCAUGACUGGCAGAUGACCCAUAUUGAUUUUCAGGUCACUAGGUCAAAGGUCAUGGGCACAGUGACUCGAAAUAGUAAAAUGGUUUCCGGAUGAUAACUCAAGAAUGCUUACGCCUAGGAUCAUGAAACUUCAUAUGUACAUUGAUCAUGACUGGCAAAUGACCCUUUCGAUUUUCAGGUCACUAGGUCAAAGGUCAAGGUCACAGUGACUCGAAACAGUAAAAUGGUUUCCGGAUGAUAACUCAAGAAUGCUUACGCCUAGUUUUAAUUAUAUAAUUGAUAAUGGUAUGAAACAAAAUAACAUAAAGUAUUAUAAGUAUUAUCAUAAAUUAUAAAUCAGAUAAUUGAUAAAUACAAUAUCAUUCAAAUAAUAUAAUGAUUACAAUUUUAACAAGUAUACAAGUAAAUACACUAAAAAUAAUAAAAUGACUCACCAGUAACCAUAUGAAGAAAGAAACUAAAGAUAGUAGGUUUAAGCAAAUGAAAAAUGCUUGUACCUCUUGCAAGGUUUAGUAACGAAAUGAAUCAAAUGUUUCAGAUAUAUAAAACCAUAAAUAUGUAUCUGAAAUCAGCUCACCUAAAAAGCUUUCUCCAUUAUUAAUAUACGGUAGCUCACUCAUUUAUCACACUGAAUCCCUCUUGAUUGGAUAAGUAGUUAUAAUUAUUUAUAAAACUGGUGUUUUGUUUUGUUUUCAUUGUGUUGCCUUUUUGCUUUUUGCUUUCUCUGAGAAAUUUGCAUCUUGAUUUUUUUCAUUUGCUUUAUUAGGUUUGCAUUCUGAUGCUUUUUUUGCUUUUGCUUUCUUGAGCUUAACAGUAUGUAUAUAUAAUACUAGUGACACUACAACAGUUUGCUGUUGUUGUCUUAUUUCGUUCAUUUCAUUUGAUAUCUUGUUGAAGAACUUGUAGUACUGUAUGUAUGUAGCAUUAAUCAAUGCUUCUUUGCUCAUCAUUUGCCUUUGAAGCUCUGAAAUAGUGCUAGUUACACAUGCGGGAUAAUCAUUUCAGCAUUAGUAUUGUAUUAUUUUGCUUUUAUAAUUAUAUUUUAUUUUUUAUUCAUCAGUGUUGUAUUGUGUUGCUUAUAUUAUGUGAAAUUUGCUGAUAUUUUUCCUUCAAAUCUGGUUUGAGGUGAUAAUUUCCUUUAAGCCCUUUUUAUUUUGUGGCACUAUUGUGUUCUAUUUUCUCUGUAAGCAUUUUACACCAUUUCUUUUUAUGGUACCUUAGGCCCCUUCCUUGUGUCAACAUCAAGAAUCUUUUAAACAGCUCUUAAUUUUGAAUGUAUAGUACUGAUAUUAUAUUUCUGCUUACAUUUGAAUAAUGUCCUAUAGGAAUACUGCUUUAAUUGUGUUUUUAUUGUGCUUUAUUAGAAUAACUAUUUCUUAUGUAUGCCAUGUAUUAUUAAUGUGUUGCAAUUUGCUACUGCUUGUUAGUUUGGUAAACAGCUAUACAUAGCGUAUGUUAUAUACAUGUUAUUUCAUACUGACAAUAAAUUCGUUUUGAUGUGA